CCCUUCUUUUGAGUUGAGCUCAUACUCAGAGGCGGGGUGACACUGCGGGCGCCUCCGCUGAGAUCAGGACAACUUGUCUCUUGGACUGUAAUUCCAGACAGAAGAGGAGUCAAAGGCUGAAGCACCCGGGAGGAUGAAGGGGGAGCAGAAAGGGGGGAGGUGGCAGUUGAAGGAUUAGUUGCUAAAAUUAAAAAAAAAAAAAUUUAAAAUACUGCAAGAGGACACUUCAGACCAAAUAUAAAAAUCAACAUUUAUUCAACGGAUAAAGGAACCUCGGGGCAUUGUGACUUUAAGGGGCCAUCGGCAGGACGUCCUGGCGGGGGAACAAAACCUCAGAGGGCCUCCUGGCUACACAAGGACAAGAUGAAGAGUCCCAAGGAGAUUGAGACUGUCCUGGCAGCUUGGGGCCUGCAGCAACAAUCACUAACAUGAUGGGGAAGCCCAGACAUUACAUUUCAGCUAAGUAUGAUAUUCAAUAUGCUGCUGUUUUAGUUCACUGGCACUCUGUGCACAGCAGAUGCUCUGGUUUUUUGUUUUUAUUUUAUAAUAAGGACACCUGGAAGUGUUGUGUGGAGGAAUUCCACCCUAAUGAAUCACUGCAUGAGCCCCCAUUAAUAUAAAGAACCUGACACUCCAAUUCACUUCUUGUGCAGUUUGAGGUCCUGUCUUGU